AAAGUACUUCCAAACUGGGAAAAGUCUCUGUAAUCCAUUGAACAUCUUUACUGUUUAGGCCACAUCCAUUCACUGAAAGUUGUGUUAAAUGAGGAAUUAAAAGAACGGUAUUUGAGCUAAUAAAAUUUGAAAAUAAGUUUGAACUGAAAGAGUUAGAAUAUACGUGUAGAGAUAAACAAAAACACAUGCUCUAGAGUUAAAUUUCUUAAUGAAGGAAGCUGGGAACACAAUUUAAGGAUUGGAAAAAAUUCAUGAAACAAAUUUCUCGAUAAAUCUAAGUCGAUAACUUCUACAAAUUCCGUUAACAUUUAGUUGAAAAUAAGUGACAUACCAGGUAGUAUUUUAGAAUACUCGUACUCUAUUUCAAUAUCUUCAAUCCUAUAAUUGUCUAGAAUAAUAACGCGCAAGCUUUUUAAAUCUCUUUGCUUGCUUUGGAUUUUUUCGAAACCACAGAAUUCUACCUGUUUUCCACUUUUAAAUUCAACAGAGGAAGGUAGGGGACUUGAAUAUGAAUAUUUUUCGUAAAGUGCUUCCAAAAAUGUUCUGCAUGGAUCAAAAGGGAAUCCUUUGUCUACAAAUAUUUUUCCUUCUUUUACAAUUCUAAUAGUUUAGUUUCUUGUCGUCAAUAACAAUCUUACAAUGGUUUUUUGUUUCUCCAACACGUUUUAACAAACUGUUUUGCAUUUACGUUUUUAUCAAGUAUGACUUGGUAUCGAUCAUUGUUUCCUUCGAUGGUUAAUGUUACUAAAGUAUUAGAUAUAGAAGCCCUAACCAUUCCAGUGGAUAUAUGCAUUAUUAAUCAACGUGGGAAAGAAAAUGGAUUGCUAUAAAAAUUUGGGCAGUUUAAGUUUUUUGUUUCUUUCAAAUUUUGUCUUUUAUCUACAACAAAAAGUUUUAACCGCACUUUUUCUUUGCGACAUAGAAGUGUUCAGUACGUAGUGAUAAUAUAGAUGGCAUCAGAUUUGUUAGGAAAAUAGUUGGAAAUACUGCUUAUUAUUAUACGGGUUUUGAUUCUAAUGUCGAUCUCAUUUUUAAAUGUGCUGCUUUAUUAAGUCUCUCAAUGUUAAUGUAAAUAAUCUAUUGUUGGCUGCAUACCUCGUAAAGUACAACUUGAUACCAAUGAAUAUAUUAAUUAUCAAACAAUGCGUUUAAAUGUAUCAAGCACCAAGCACGAUGUAGAUUGGAAGCAGCACUAUCGAGAAUUAUCACUUUUUUAAAUGAACUGUACAUAAAGGAAAUGUUGCUUUUUGGGGGCGAGAACUCCAUCCUGGGAGAAUUCGCAAUUGUUGAUCUGCAACCCAUUUGAGACUUCUAAAAUUUACCUCGUGAAUGGCAAAAAAUUCGAUCUCUCGGAGAACUUUGUCAUUUGAUAACAAAGGAAAAGAAAUUAUCUUUAAAAAACGAAUUGCGAAUUCAGUUCCCAUUUUUUUGCUCAAUAUCGAAAUCAGAGUUCUGGUCCAGUCGCUGCUAUUACGGAAACAAUCAACAAUGUAAUCAAACUGAAGCCCAGAUAACCGUAUAUACUUUAAAGCAUAACU